CAGUAGCCACGGUAAUACGGAGGGUGCAAGCGUUAAUCGGAAUUACUGGGCGUAAAGCGCACGCAGGCGGUCUGACAAGUCAGAUGUGAAAUCCCCGGGCUUAACCUGGGAACUGCAUUUGAAACUGUCAGGCUGGAGUCUUGUAGAGGGGGGUGGGAUUCCAGGUGUAGCGGUGAAAUGCGUAGAGAUCUGGAGGAAUACCGGUGGCGAAGGCGGCCCCCUGGACAAAGACUGACGCUCAGGUGCGAAAGCGUGGGGAGCAAACAGGAUUAGAUACCCCUGUAGUCCCUGUCUCUUAUAC
rnacentral:rRNA from 1 species